rnacentral:lncRNA from 1 species
GUCAGAGAAUUUUACUUAAAUUUGAGCUAUAGCAAUGGAACUGUGAAAUAUACAGUAAAAGGUAUUGAUAUUAUUCUUGAUCCAGUAUAUUUGGGACAGAUACUGCAUUUACCUUGUGAAAGCUAUACCAAUAUGGAGCUCCCUAUUAAAGAAAAAGGAAUUAAUGUUAUCUUAGGGAGAACCUAUACUGGAAGUCUAAAUAAAUUAGAAGCAAAAAAUCUUUCUGUUAAGAUGAGGCUGUUACAUCACUGGGUAACCAAACUGUUUGUCUCUAGGAGUGGUAGACACGACCUUCUAUCUGGUAGAGAUAUUUGCAUUAUGUACCAUGUGAUCACCUAAACCCCCCUGAACCUUCCAGCAUUGAUGUUUGAGGCCAUGAGGAAAAUCCUGAACAGGUCCAAGGCUUACUUGCCUUUUGGUAUGGCACUCACCUUAGUUUUUAGAAGGUUCGAAAUCAGUUUUGAGGGGGAGGUAGUUGCUAGACUAUCCCAUUUCGACACCA